rnacentral:rRNA from 1 species
ACGGGUAGCCGGCCUGAGAGGGUGACCGGCCACACUGGGACUGAGACACGGCCCAGACUCCUACGGGAGGCAGCAGUGGGGAAUAUUGGACAAUGGGCGAAAGCCUGAUCCAGCAACGCCGCGUGAGGGAUGACGGCCUUCGGGUUGUAAACCUCUUUCAGCAGGGACGAAGCGAAAGUGACGGUACCUGCAGAAGAAGGACCGGCCAACUACGUGCCAGCAGCCGCGGUAAUACGUAGGGUCCGAGCGUUGUCCGGAAUUAUUGGGCGUAAAGGGCUCGUAGGCGGUCUGUCGCGUCGGUAGUGAAAACUCAGGGCUUAACCCUGAGCGUGCUUCCGAUACGGGCAGACUAGAGGUAUGCAGGGGAGAACGGAAUUCCUGGUGUAGCGGUGGAAUGCGCAGAUAUCAGGAGGAACACCGGUGGCGAAGGCGGUUCUCUGGGCAUUACCUGACGCUGAGGAGCGAAAGCAUGGGGAGCGA